rnacentral:rRNA from 1 species
UACGAAGGUGGCAAGCGUUGUUCGGAUUUACUGGGCGUACAGGGAGCGUAGGCGGUUGGGUAAGCCCUCCGUGAAAUCUCCGGGCCUAACCCGGAAAGUGCGGAGGGGACUGCUCGGCUAGAGGAUGGGAGAGGAGCGCGGAAUUCCCGGUGUAGCGGUGAAAUGCGUAGAGAUCGGGAGGAAGGCCGGUGGCGAAGGCGGCGCUCUGGAACAUUUCUGACGCUGAGGCUCGAAAGCGUGGGGAGCAAACAGGG